CUCCAGAGUGCUGGGACUGCAGGCGUGCCCAGCCACGCCCGGCUCCUCCCAGACGUUUAGAUCACUUGAGAACUUCGAGUCUCCCCAAAGGCUGGAGGGAAGCCAGAGGUUGCCUAUUCCUGCAGUCAGGCGGGCGCAGGUGGGCACGGCCCGGAGUGGCCCAGGGCCCUGCGGGUACCGGGAGAUGUGCGCAUGCGCAGUCCUUUGCUGAGCCACACCCGACCCUUCGGUCCCACUGACUGGGUUUUGCAGGUCUGGAUGGAAAUAAUUCCAGGCUCUGGAGCUCCAGCGCGCCCCCACCCAGCCUGGGCCUUCCUGCCUCCCCAGUCACAGGGACUCUUGGUUAUAGGACUUCAGAAGUCUCGGACCGAGAGCCCCAACUCGGUGCUGUAGGUGCCGGCUGACUGACACCCAAAGACAGGAGGAUGGCAAAGCUGAGCCCGGGGGAGGAAGGAGCCCGCCUACACCACUGGCAGGAACAGAGACUGGUGCAACCACGUUUGACAUUUGGUGCGUGCUCCAGACGACGGCGACCGACAAAUAUUUGACAUUGCGGAGUGUCUCAGACUGCUUGGCGGGGGAGAUUCUUCCCAGUUUCGGAUACUGAAUUUGUUUUCAUAGAUGUUAAGGAUUGAAGCCGAGACUGUACGUCCCAGGCAAGCACCUCUCCUCAGAGCUGCCAGCCAGUCCUCAGCAACAACAGAGAGAAAACUUGGAGGCCGAGGAUGCUGGGGCAGACCUGUAAUCCCAGCACCUGGGAGGCUGAGACAGGACCAUACCAAGUUUGAAAUCAGUCUUGGCUGCGUAACUGAACCCAGUAAUCCGCACACACGAGGCAGCCUCUCCACCACUGCCCGCGCGCCGACUCCUCUUCCAUUUUCCUGAGAUGGAGAAUACUGAGUACACGGAACUUGGGCUAACUCUACAGGACAUCGACCGGAAUCUACAUUUCUGUGUACCGAGUCUAGAGCUUCCUGAUCCUCAGACGCGGAACAAUGCCUGGCCCAGAUGUUUGCUGGUGUAGCGCUCCAGCUCGGCUUAUGAAAAGGAGAUGGCCCUUACAGUCCCGGCCCUCAGACCUUCGGAGCCACGCCCUUUCUUUUGACUCCCUACACGUGGUAGCAGAAAGCAUUCCUUGCGACACAAUGGAACAACUUCACAGCCGCCCCCGGAGCUGGAGUUGGUAUUAAGUUACCUUUUUCAGACCACACCGGUUUACCGGAAUAGUUGGGACCAGGUCAGGGAAAGUGCGACAGCGUUACCAGCUUCGCUCGGGCCACACCUGGACGAAAAGUUGGAUGCAGAAACAAGAUCGAACUUGAGUGUGCUUUGGAAUUAAAAACAGCAAAUCGCUGCAGAAUGGAGACUGCCUGGUGGAGCUGUGUGAAAGGGGACCCGAGCCCAGGCUGUGUGGUUUAUUUCUGCUGGAACUCCCUGCUGGAGUUCCCAGGGGCUGGCCCCAGCCCAGACUCAGCUGUGCCUCCAGCAGCCGGCAGCUCCUGACCCAGCUGCACAUACCCGCCACAUCACUCCUCCUGCUGUAGAUUCAGAUCUACACCAGGUCUGCUCCUGCCCCAGACACAAGUUCCAAGCGGCACAGGCUGGAGAGAGCAUAAUUAACCUACCUCCCGGUCCAUCCUCUGACCGUCGAUAUUGGUGCAAUACAGAUCUUCUGCAUGGCAUUGCACUCCUAUUCUAGCUGCUGGCCCGCUGACUGUUUUAAUGAAAUUUAUAUCGGGUCUUAGGGGUUGUCAUUAGAUGAAAAUUAUGACUGAGUCUGCAGGCAACUCUCAGAUGAAUUUGGGAACCUCAAGAAUUAAUUAUGUUCAGAGAUGCUACAAGCUAUAUUGGUAAUUUCAUUUCUUCUCACUUCAAUUGAAUUUACCAAACAUUCAUUGCAUUCCUACUGUGUACCAAGCACUGUGGUCACAAAAAUGAGUGGGAUGUGG